rnacentral:rRNA from 1 species
UACGAAGGGGACUAGCGUUGUUCGGAAUUACUGGGCGUAAAGCGCACGUAGGCGGGAUGGCAAGUCGGUCGUGAAAUCCCUCGGCUCAACUGAGGAUCGUCGAUCGAUACUGCCGUUCUUGAGGAUUGCAGAGGAGACUGGAAUUCCCGGUGUAGCGGUGAAAUGUGUAGAGAUCGGGAGGAACACCGGUGGCGAAGGCGGGUCUCUGGGCAAUUCCUGACGCUGAGGCGCGAAAGCGUGGGGAGCAAACGGG